rnacentral:lncRNA from 1 species
UCGGAUAAGCUUAUAACAUGUUCGGGAUUUAAAUACGGCCCAUUCGGGCCCAUCUACGAUGUGUUAAGCAUAUCCGGAAGUUUCUGGAGGAUGCAGCUGCUUGUCUACCUCCUUAAGCAGCUAGACAUGUGUUACUCCUUUACUGGAGAAUCCUCCAAGCAGCUCUUGCUUAUGUCCUAUUGGUUGAAAUGGUGGCUGGCCACAAAACUUGUUUUAAUUGGACAGAUUUGUGGCUGCACACCAAUCUCUCUCCAAUUGGUUGCAUGGGGCACUCAGGACACCUCCUGCUUGCUAUGCACGACCAAAACCCUCCCAUGAGCUCAUUCUCCAGCCUAUAAAUAGCAGACCACCCCCUUAGUUAUUUCUGAUGCUUAGAACCCUAACCAUAGCAGCUCGAAAAAGUCGAAACCCUAAGGUAAAUUGUUUUUGUCUUUAGCUUUCUUUUUAUUUAGAUUUUGUUUUUUUUUUUUUUUUUUUUUCUUAGUUAGAACUUGGAUAGCCUUUCUUAACCUACCCCUUCCUUUAUUUAGAUUUCUAAAGCUCUAGAGUUUUCCGAUAAAAGUUUAAAGUGAAGCCGACCGCGAGAUAGAAGCGUUUCCAGUCCAAAACUUUCAUCAAGUGUUGAGGUGAGUCUCAGUUAUGGGUUAUGAUUGUUGUGUGUGCGACUAGCGCCUGCAAAACAAGAGUAACGGUUAAUGCAUUGCUAGGUUGCACGUUUAGAUAUAUAAUGAUAUGAUAAUGAUUGAUGUUUGUGAAAGAUAUUGAGUUAUAUCGUCGGGCUUCGGCUCGAGGGGUAUAACAUGAUUGUGAUACGUUGAUGUUGUGAUGCAUAUACUUAUGUCAUUGCAUUAUAUUUUUUUGCGCCUCGGCUCAGAUAAUAUAACAUGUUUGAUCAUAUCUUAACGGGGAAACCCGUAAAUCCACGGACUUGAUCCGUGAGAGUCCGACACUCGGGUGGAGUGUCGUGAGAGUCAUUGGUAUCCACUCGAGGCCCGUGCUUUGUCCGGGGCCUUACCAAAAUUAGUUCCGGGCAGGACGCGAAGACACGUGUGGUAGGGCUAGCUACCCUCGACCGUGUAGCUGCAUGACGAUGCGGCAAGUGUGUUAUCCGGGCCAUCGGCUUUUUAGACUUUGUGAUUAGAGUCAAUGGGCGCAAGAAG